GGAGGGGCAUGGCUCAAUGGUAGAGCAUCUGCUUCUCAUGCAGAAGGUCCCGGGUUCAAUCCCCGGCAUCUCCA